rnacentral:rRNA from 1 species
CCUACGGGAGGCAGCAGUGAGGGAUAUUGGUCAAUGGGCGAGAGCCUGAACCAGCCAAGUCGCGUGAGGGAUGACGGCCCUACGGGUUGUAAGCUUCUUUUGUCAGGGAGCAAUUGAGUCCACGUGUGGGCUUAGCGAGAGUACCUGACGAAAAAGCAUCGGCUAAGUCCGUGCAAGCAGCCGCGGUAAUACGGAGGAUGCGAGGGUUAACAGGAUUUGUGGGGGUUAAAGGGUGCGUGGGCGGAAUAGCAAGUCAGCGGUAAAAAUUCGGGGCUCAACCCCGUCGUGCCGUUGAAACUGAGGUUCUUGAGUGGGCGAGAAGUAUGCGGAAUGCGUGGUGUAGCGGUGAAAUGCAUAGAUAUCACGCAGAACUCCGAUUGCGAAGGCAGCAUACCGGCGCCCAACUGACGCUGAAGCACGAAAGCGUGGGUAUCGAACAGGAUUAGAUACCCCUGUAGUC